UUUCCAUUCUCUGUAUGGUCUUAGAGUCUUCCCGAUGGCUGGUUUCUAAGAAUUCCAGUACUCUUUUACUUGUUGCAAACGUGUCCCUCUGACUCUCUGUAAACUGCAGUUUUGUUGUCUUCUCCCGAGCAGGAUAGCUUGGAGGAGCCUGGCCUCCUGGUGUGGCUGCUGGGGGGUCAUCCCCUUCUUUGAGAUUCCUCUUCCCGAGGUGGAAGCAUGGAACCCAGGUCAUGGGUGGCAUGGACUAAGAGCUGACUGAGGACCUUGCUGAAUACAUCCUACAAAAAGAAGCAUCAUGUCAUUGACUUGGAGGAAGGACUGUCACUGUGGAGAUUGAAUUACCUAUGUUUCCAGGAAAUCAGUCCCUUUGGAGCCAUUGGGGAUAUUGACAAUAGGAAUUUCUGUGGGCUGAAGACGCAGAUUAAAUCAAGCUACUUCAGGAAUCUAGGUAUCCACUGCAGGGAUCUAUUUAACUAUGAGGUUGGGUAGCCAAGAGAAGCUUGAGAAUAUCCAUUGAAUUGAACUGAGACAGUGAUGUCUGCCCAUGUCUGCACCCAGCCUCCUGCAGAGGAAGAAGCAGCAUCCACACCAAGAGAAGUAACUCUUUAUCUUCCACCCGGCCCUUGCUGUUCCUGGUGUGUGCCUGCCCACCCACCUUCCCAGGACUUCAACAGGUAGGUGAAUGGAUGAAAGCAAGGACUAGAAUGAAGGCGUAGCUCAUGGCUUAAAGCUAGUUCAAGUGGGAAUCCUGUUAAUUAUUCGGUCUUAUCAAUGCAAGGGGCCCUUUAUCCAUUUACUGGCUUGUUAUUAUAUCAGCAAACUCCAAAGAGAAGAAUCAAGAGGAAGGUAGCAGAUGCACACAGAGUUUAAGACUUACACCCUCCUGUACUCUCUGCUCCUAUUCAAGACAGAGCACAGCAGCCUUGCAUGUCCUGGUGCACAUCAUCCAAGGCCUAAGUGGAUGAAAAAUUAUUACCCCCACUAGCCAAGGACCAUUCAUCUAACUAACUCCUAAUUAAGUGAACAAUCAUCACACAAGGCAAUUUUUCAACUUGAAGCCAGUCGAUGCUACUGUUCAUGCCACAGCCAGACACCAUGGCUGUUGUCACCCCCAGCAACAUCUCCAGGAUGAAGUCAGCUGCCCAGUCUUGCUGGUUAAUCUACUAUGGCUAGAAAGUGUUAUUACACAGUUUCCAUUGAGCCUGCCUAACGUGCUGGGAGGAGUUGGAGAGAGACUUCUUCCUCAGAGCAGGAAAAGGUUUUGGGUAAAUGAAGUGAACUGUGUCACCACUUGAAACAACUCAUUCAAACAUAGCUACUGAGAGUUGGGAAUCUAGAUUAUAAGAAACUUCCAACUGGGACUGGUUGAUUCAAGAAAACUCUUUAACAGUUGGAAAAGUUUUCUGGUGUUAACUUCAGAAUUUCAAGAGGGUGAUUGCCUAAGAAAUAUUUGAUGCCAUGAUCUGAAGCUACUGCAAAGUGUUAUGAAAAUGGAGAUUUAAUUAUAUGCUCAGCUAUACCCUUGCAAGUGCAUGUACUGGACAGUUCUGCUCACAGUGAGUAAAGACUCAUGAGUAUAAUAAGUGUUACUUCAGGUAAAGUCAUUUGCUGCAGUAUCAUAUUGUAAACUCAUCUAAUUUACCUACUGCUUUUCCAAGGACAAAAAUUAAACUGCAACCAUGGUAGUAUUAGUUGGCAGUCCCACAGCAGUACAAUAAUUAAAGCCAACAUAAGUAUACUCCAAACAAAUUCAGUUCCCCUAAAUAAGCACCAUUAUAUAGGCAUUUUGGAUUGGUCACUUUUUCUGGGCUUGGGCUAAAGAAUCUGAAAUACCUAUAUGAACUUGGCUCUAGGUACAGAAGAGAUAAAAGCCUGAUUAUCUUGUGAGGCAGGGUUAACAUUUAUCUUAACCUAUUAUCACCCCAGAGCAUAUCCACUCAUAUCUUCUUCUUUGGAACAGUGGGACCAAUUCAGAUAUUUCUUGGGCAAACUCCAGUGCCUCCCCAGCACAGUUCUGGUCCCUGCUCAUCUGCCUCCACUUUGUCCCACAAGGGACCACAAGUCUUCCUUGGCUGGGGAGUCUCACAAGUCUCUCCACACAACAUGAGCUGGUGCCACCAGGAAUCAAGUUCUUAGCUGACUCCCCUGUGCUCCACCACAUAGGAGCAGGCUCCACAAAGGUUUAAGAUGGGACCACUGCUUAAAAGUUGUUGGGCCAUGACCCUCAAUCACCUCUGCUACCUAUAGAACUUUGAGCAAGUGCAAAAACCUAGGAGGAGAUGGCAUCCCCCCCGCCAACACCCUCAACAGGCACCGCUGCUUAAGAUUCGAAUUUACACCAACCACAGCAAUCCAGGCAAAAUUCUUUUCCUAAGUCAACACAAUUGGUCUUGACUAAUAUUAUGCUACCUGUCUCUAUACAUGUGGAUUUCCCAUUGAGAUCAUGGAUUGCCACUGAUUCAUGCAUGUUGGAAGACAUAACAUUAGAGCUGAGAACAUCCACCAUGCAGAACUUAGAGGAGAAUUUUGCCAUUGGUUUACAAAAGUGAAUUCACAUUUUUAUGCUGUCUGUACAUCCAGCUCAUCCUCUUUGAGGGCUCUAGAGUUCCAGUGGCAUUUCUUUCUGUUUACAAAUGUUUCUGAAAUGCAAACAAAUGACAGAGCACAACAGACACAUUCCAUGAUAUGUAUAAGGCACUGUGGUCUGUAAGACAGAGCAGAGUGUUGGAGACAGGAACUCCUGAGUUCUAGUUUCUGUUCUAUAGCUGGGCUUGUGUGACUUUGAGCAAGAUUUUGAAAAUCUCCGAGUUUUUCCUCCAAAUGUAAAAUGAGGAUAAUACAAUUAAACUCCCAGGGGUUCUAUGACUGUUGACAUUAAAGAAAUGGUACCACCUUAUACCAGCAGAUAGUCUGGCCUGAUGACUGUACAGCACUUUGAGCAUGUAAAGUU